rnacentral:rRNA from 1 species
CCUACGGGAGGCAGCAGUGAGGAAUAUUGGUCAAUGGACGAGAGUCUGAACCAGCCAAGUAGCGUGAAGGAUGACUGCCCUAUGGGUUGUAAACUUCUUUUAUAUGGGAAUAAAAUGUUCCACGUGUGGGAUUUUGUAUGUACCAUAUGAAUAAGGAUUGGCUAACUCCGUGCCAGCAGCCGCGGUAAUACGGAGGAUCCGAGCGUUAUCCGGAUUUAUUGGGUUUCAAGGGAGCGUAGGUGGAUUGUUAAGUCAGUUGUGAAAGUUUGCGGCUCAACCGUAAAAUUGCAGUUGAAACUGGCAGUCUUGAGUACAGUAGAGGUGGGCGGAAUUCGUGGUGUAGCGGUGAAAUGCUUAGAUAUCACGAAGAACUCCGAUUGCGAAGGCAGUUCACUGGACUGCAACUGACACUGAGGCUCGAAAGUGUGGGUAUCAAACAGGAUUAGAUACCCUUGUAGUC